rnacentral:rRNA from 1 species
GAACGGGUGAGUAAUACAUAAAUAAUCUACCAUAAUGACUGGGAUAACCAAUGGAAACGCUGGCUAAUACCGGAUAGGUAAAACGAGGGCAUCUUUGUUUUAUUAAAGUAGGGCUACUACACAAUAUGAUGAGUUUAUGGCGCAUUNNNUAGUUGGUGAGGUAACGGCUCACCAAGNNNAUGAUGCGUAGCCGACCUGAGAGGGUGACCGGCCACACUGGGACUGAGACACGGCCCAGACUCCUACGGGAGGCAGCAGUAGGGAAUUUUCGGCAAUGGGCGCAAGCCUGACCGAGCAACGCCGCGUGAGUGAAGAAGGCCUUCGGGUUGUAAAGCUCUGUUGUAAGGGAAGAACACUUUUUAGAGGAAAUGCUAGAGAGCUGACGGUACCUUACCAGAAAGCCACGGCUAACUACGUGCCAGCAGCCGCGGUAAUACGUAGGUGGCGAGCGUUAUCCGGAAUUAUUGGGCGUAAAGGGUGCGUAGGCGGUUUAUUAAGUCUGUGGUGAAAGUGCGGGGCUCAACCCCGUAUGGCCACAGAAACUGAUAGACUAGAGUACAGGAGAGGGCAGUGGAAUUCCAUGUGUAGCGGUAAAAUGCGUAGAUAUAUGGAGGAACACCGGUGGCGAAGGCGGCUGCCUGGCCUGUAACUGACGC